ensembl:lncRNA
CAGCUGAACUGGCCUUAAAGUCUGGUCUGUAGUUCUGUUCUGGUCUGGUUGGAUGUGGUCUGGUCUGUAGUUCUGGUCUGGUCUGGUUGGAUGUGGUCUGGUCUGUAGUUCUGGUCUGGUUGCAUGUGGUCUGGUCUGUAGUUCUGGUCUGGUCUGGUUGGAUGUGGUCUGGUCUGUAGUUCUGGUCUGGUUGGAUGUGGUCUGGUCUGUAGUUCUGGUCUGGUCUGGUUGGAUGUGGUCUGGUCUGUAGUUCUGGUCUGGUUGGAUGUGGUCUGGUCUGUAGUUCUGGUCUGGUCUGGUUGGAUGUGGUCUGGUCUGUAGUUCUGGUCUGGUUAGAUGGGGUCUGGUCUGUAGUUCUGAUCUGAUCUGGUUAGAUGUGGUCUGGUCUGUAGUUCUGGUCUGGUCUGGUUGGAUGUGGUCUGGUCUGUAGUUCUGGUCUGGUCUUGUUGGAUGUGGUCUGGUCUGUAGUUCUGGUCUGGUUUGAGGUGGUCUGGUCUGUAGGUCCGGUCUGGACCGGUCUUGUGUGGUUUUGUCUCUUAAGGGUUCUGGUUCCACUCAAAGUUCCCGCUCGUUUAUCG